rnacentral:rRNA from 1 species
UACGGGGGGGGCAAGCGUUGUUCGGAAUUACUGGGCGUAAAGGGCUCGUAGGCGGCCAACUAAGUCAUACGUGAAAUCCCUCGGCUUAACCGGGGAACUGCGUCUGAUACUGGAUGGCUUGAGAUUGGGAGAGGGAUGCGGAAUUCCAGGUGUAGCGGUGAAAUGCGUAGAUAUCAGGAAGAACACCCGUGGCGAAGGCGGCUCUCUGGGACGGUACUGACGCUGAGACGCGAAAGCGUGGGGAGCGAACAGG